UGUUAAAAAAAUUCAUCCCUUUGUACUGUUAAAAAUUGGUGUAGCUGACGGAAUGACCAGAUAGUGACACGUGACAUGUCACGUAUACCUCAUACUAACGUACAAUGGCUAGUUUUAAUAGUAAAAAUGGAUGAAAUUUUUAACA
rfam:Gossypium hirsutum cultivar TM-1 chromosome 9, whole genome shotgun sequence